rnacentral:rRNA from 1 species
GACGAACGCUGGCGGCGUGCUUAACACAUGCAAGUCGAACGAAAUUAAAAAAUUAUCAUUGAGCUCUCCGAUGAGAUGGGAGCCAAGCGUCGUGACCGCGCAGCGGGCACCACGCGUUCAACAAGUGCAACACCAAGUCGAAGGGUUGAAUGGUAAUUUUUUAAUUUAGUGGCAAACGGGUGAGUAACACGUAGACAACCUGCCGACAGGAUGGGGACAACAUUCCGAAAGGAAUGCUAAUACCGAAUGAAGCGGAGGAGAGGCACCUCUCUUCCGUGAAAGAUGGCCUCUAUUUAUAAGCUAUCACCUGUCGAUGGGUCUGCGUCUGAUUAGCUGGUUGGUGAGGUAACGGCUCACCAAGGCGACGAUCAGUAGCCGGUCUGAGAGGAUGAACGGCCACAUUGGGACUGAGACACGGCCCAGACUCCUACGGGAGGCAGCAGUGGGGAAUCUUCCGCAAUGGGCGCAAGCCUGACGGAGCAACGCCGCGUGAGUGAAGAAGGUCUUCGGAUCGUAAAGCUCUGUUGACGGGGACGAACGUACGGAGUGCGAAUAGUGCUCUGUAAUG